rnacentral:rRNA from 1 species
UACGUAGGGCGCAAGCGUUAUCCGGAAUUAUUGGGCGUAAAGGGCUCGUAGGCGGUUUGUCGCGUCGGGAGUGAAAAUCCAGGGCUUAACUCUGGACUGGCUUCCGAUACGGGCAGACUAGAGGUAUGCAGGGGAGAACGGAAUUCCUGGUGUAGCGGUGAAAUGCGCAGAUAUCAGGAGGAACACCGGUGGCGAAGGCGGUUCUCUGGGCCUGUACUGACGCUGAGGAGCGAAAGCGUGGGGAGCGAACAGG